rnacentral:pre_miRNA from 1 species
AAUAGAUGACGCCGUUGACUUUUUCUCACAUGUUUGACCAUUCGUCUUAUUUAAAAAAUUUAAAUAAUUAUAAUUUAUUUGGUUAUGAGUUGUUUUAUCACUCAUAGUACUUUAAGUGUGAUUUAUAUCUUAUAUAUUUGCAAAAAAAAAAAUUGAAUAAGACGAAUGGUCAAACAUGUGAGAAAAAGUCAACGGCGUCAUCUAUU